UACGUAGGGUGCGAGCGUUGUCCGGAAUUAUUGGGCGUAAAGGGCUCGUAGGCGGUUUGUCGCGUCGGGAGUGAAAACCCAGGGCUUAACUCUGGGCUUGCUUUCGAUACGGGCAGACUAGAGGUAUGCAGGGGAGAACGGAAUUCCUGGUGUAGCGGUGAAAUGCGCAGAUAUCAGGAGGAACACCGGUGGCGAAGGCGGUUCUCUGGGCAUUACCUGACGCUGAGGAGCGAAAGUGUGGGGAGCGAACAGG
rnacentral:rRNA from 2 species